AAUAAUAAACAAAAUUUUUUUAAUGUACAUUAAAAUUGAUUUGUUUUUAUUAAUGAACUUCUGGGUGGCAGAGCUUCCAAUAAGGAUUUUGCUGAUAUUUUCACAAAUACACAUUAUUAUUUAAUUAUUUUGUCUAUUAAGAGUAGAAUUAAUUUAUUCUAUGUAUCAAAUUUUUUCAAAUGUUUUAGUUAGAUUUUGAUGAUAUUUAUAAAAAAAAAAUUCUUAUUUUUAGGUUAGUAGGCUCUCCCCUUAAAGAUAAUGUUUGUUAUGAUUCAUAUAAGAAAUAGUUGUUCAUUUUUUACUUCAGACAUUAUUUAGUAGAUUACGUAUAAUGCCUGUUUUAUAAUUCUCCCUCACACUUGUUUCCUUUCAAUUUAGGAUGCAACUUUGUAUGGAGAAAACAAUUCAAAAGAAAUUGUGAAGAAGCAGAUGGAAUUAUUUAAAGCAAGACAUGAUGAAAUGAAAAAUAUUAUUCAAUUGGAUCUUCAAAGGAUGCAGAAUGGCUCAGUGGGGCUUUAGUGAGGAAACUUGUUUCUUAUUUAAUAUCAAGUAUCUUUCCGCCUAUUGCCCCUUCUAAGCCGCAUCAAUCCUUAAGGACACUCAUGAAGACUUCUUUCAAAAUUAAGUCUGACUUUAAGGUACUCCACAACACGGUGAUAGCAUAGUAUGAAGUAUCACUUGGAAACAAUAAUCUUACAAAUGGUAUUACAAUGGAUAAUGUGAUGAUCAUCCAUGUCAAACUGACCAUGGAGUUAGAACACAUGCCAGAAGUAAUAGAUCUUUUAGCCAUAGAAAUAUGUUAGAAGUGUACACGGCGAGGAGGUAGAUCACUCCUCAGUAUUAUAUUUGCGAUAAAAUUUGCUAAAUAAAUACAUGUGAUUCAAUAACUUUUAGUAUUAAAUGUGUGACAGAACAUUGCAUAUACUUUCUAUAAUUUAUGUAUUUGAUUUACAUUUUAAUGUGAAUAAAAACUUAUUCUCAUACAA